rnacentral:ncRNA from 1 species
AUAAGGAGUCUAGCAUAUGUGCCAGUAUACGGGCGGCAACCCUGUAUGCACAAUGAAAGUGAGAGUAGGGAGAAGCUUGCUUUUUGCAUUUCUCUCACCUACGACCAACCACGAACUCUGUGAGAAGUUUGAGCUGUAGCAUAUCUGUUAGGACCCGAAAGAUGAUGAACUAUGCCUGAGUAGGGUGAAGCCAGGCGGAAGCCUGAUGGAGGCUGGCAGCGAUACUGACGUGCAAAUCGUUCACCAAACUUGCGUAUAGGGGCGAAAGACUAAUCGAACGUCUAGUAGCUGGUUUCUUCCGAAGUUUCUCUCAGGAUAGCUGAAGUUCUAUUAGUCUUAUCAGGUAAAGCGAAUGAUUAGAGGCCUCGGGGGCGCGUUGCCCUUGACAUAUUCUCAAACUUUAGAUGGGUAACAUCCAGUGGUUACUUCAUUGAACUGGUGUGGCUAAUAUGUACUCCAAGUGGACCAAUUUUGGUAAGCAGAACUGGCGAUGAGGGAUGCUCCUAACGCUCGGUUAAGGUGCCCAAAUACUCGUUCAUCAAACACCAUAAGAGGUGUUGGUUCAUUUUGACAGCAGGACGGUGGUCAUGGAAGUCGAAAUCCGCUAAGAAGUGUGUAACAANGGUGUUGGUUCAUUUUGACAGCAGGACGGUGGUCAUGGAAGUCGAAAUCCGCUAAGAAGUGUGUAACAACGUACCUGCCGAAUGGACCACCCCUGAAAUUGGAUGGCGCUGCAGCGGGUUACCGAUACCAGGCCAUUUUCGCAAGUCUUUGGACACUCGACUUUUCGCGGUAAUGAGUAGGAAGACGUGGGGAUCGUAGCGAAGCAUUAGGCGUGAGCCUGUGUGGAACCGUAUCUAGUGCAGAUCUUGGUGGCAGUAGCAAAUAUUCAAGUGAGAACUGAAGACUGAAGUGGAGAAGGGUUCCAUGUGAACAGCAGUUGGACAUGGGUUAGACGGUCCUAAGUGACAGCUUAACUGCGUGAAAUUUGGGGGCUUUUUGCCCCGUAUUUCGCGAGAGGGAAUCAGGAUAAUAUUCCUGAGCCAGGACGUGGAUACUGUACGGUAACGUGCAUGAAAUCCUCGACGCAGGCGGGUGCUGUGGAUGAUCCAGCGAAUCCAGGUGCAGGAUACCAGCGUAGGAUUCUGUAGUACUGCGCAGAUUGUAUUUAACAACUAAAUGUACAAACGUUUUAUUC